rnacentral:rRNA from 1 species
AUGCAUAAUUAUUUUGAGAGGAACCCAUAUAAAUAUUCUUCACCUAAUGGGUUGUCGAUUAUGUAUAUUAAAAAUAAAACAAAAGAGACACGGAUGAUGGUCCAUUUGGUCGAUGAUCGGUUUAGUCUGGGUGAGGUAAUUAGGCCACAGAAAAGCAACCACAGGUCGGAUUUUUGCAAAAAAAAAAACAACCAGAGGAACAGUAAUAAGGAGCAGCCGGUAAAAAGUAAAAUAAAAGAAGGAGCAACAGGAUGUAACCCGUCGCACUUCGUUUUCUCGGUUUCUCCAGUGGUGUGCGGUGAGACCGUGAAACACUAUCACUUUGCUUUCUACACUCAUGACUUGCUUCCUCCGCCAGCAUCCUCCUCUGUAGCACGGCGCCUCCUCUGCAGCGCGCUGCUCUCCGGCCACGACGAUGCCCGGCGGCCCCCUCCCCCCAACCCACACCACCACCACAACCACCACGGCCUCGCCCCGUCUCGUCCUAUCCCCACCACCGCCUCGCCCCGCCGGCUCUUUUCCCCACGACGACCUCUCCCCACCGGCCCUUAUCCCCACAACGGCCUCUCCCCGCGGCCUCCUGUCACCACCGCGGCCUUGCCUCGCCGCCAACCCCGCGGAUCUUCCCUAGAUCGGCUCUACCGACGCCAUCGUAGUGCCCCAGAGCAGAUCGAGAUGUGA